GAGAAACGGCUACCACAUCCACGGAAGGCAGCAGGCGCGUAAAUUACCCAAUACCGGCUCGGUGAGGUAGUGACAAAAAAUAACAAUAUGGGCCCUAGUGGUUUCAUAAUUGCAAUGAGAAUAUUUUAAAUACUUUAUCAAGUAUCAAUUGGAGGGCAAGUCUGGUGCCAGCAGCCGCGGUAAUUCCAGCUCCAAAAGCGUAUAUUAAAGUUGUUGCAGUUAAAAAGCUCGUAGUUGAAAUUCGGGAUGUAAAUGUAUUUAUAAUCUUAGGAUUGAAGUUCAUUUUGUCCUUUUCUGUUGUGUAUAUUUUGGAGGUACUUAAUUGGACUUUCAUAAUAACCGACUUGUUUACUUUGAAAAAAUUAGAGUGCUUAAAGCAGGCUUAUGCUUGUAUAUUGUUGCAUGGAAUAAUAAAAUAUGACUUCGGUUUUAUUUUGUUGGUUUUCGAAACUGAAGUAAUGAUUAAAAGAGACUGCCGGGGGCAUGUGUAUGCUGGUGUUAGAGGUGAAAUUCUUAGAUCAUCAGCAGACAAACUACU
rnacentral:rRNA from 1 species